rnacentral:rRNA from 1 species
AUUGAACGCUGGCGGCAGGCCUAACCCAUGCAAGUCGAACGAGUGGCGGACGGGUGCGUAAUGUCUGGGAAACUUCCCGAUGGAGGGGGAUAACUACUGGAAACGGUAGCUAAUACCGCGUAACAUCGGAUUUGCCACAAUGGGAGUAGCUUGUAGGUGAGUGAACGGCUCACCUAGGCGACGAUCACUCGCUGGUCUGAGAGGAUGACCAGCCACACUGGAACGGAGACACGGUCCAGACUCCUACGGGAGGCAGCAGUGGGGAAUAUUGCACAAUGGGCGAAAGCCUGAUGCAGCCAUGCCGCGUGUAUGAAGAAGGCCUUCGGGUUGUAAAGUACUUUCAGCGGGGAGGCGUUACCCGCAGAAGAAGCACCGGCUAACUCCGUGCCAGCAGCCGCGGUAAUAC